UAAUCUGCCUUCAGUGGGGGAUAACUAGUCGAAAGAUUAGCUAAUACCGCAUAAGACCACAAGAUCUGAGGAUCAAGGGGUUAAAGGUUUUUCGCCUGAAGAUGAGUCCGCGCGAGAUUAGCUAGUUGGUGAGGUAAUGGCUCACCAAGGCAACGAUCUCUAACAGGUCUGAGAGGAUGAUCUGUCACACUGGAACUGAGACACGGUCCAG
rnacentral:rRNA from 1 species